GUUGAUACUGCAGUGAGCUAUGAUCACACCACCGCAAUCCAGCCUGGGUGACAGGGCAAGACACUGUCUCUAAAAACUAAAAUAAGAUAAUAUGAAAUUAUAUAUAUAUAUGAUAGUAAAAUAAAACAAAUGAAUGAGAAAAUGAAGGAAGAGGUAAUGCUUCCCAAUUCAUUCUGUAAACUAGUAUUAGCAACCCAAGCCUAGCAACAUAUAAAUAGGAUUAUACACCAUAACUAAGUGGGAUUUAUCCCAGGAAUGCAAGGUUGGUUUAACAUCUGAAAAUCAAUAUAAUAUAUUAUAUUAACAGAAUAAAGGACAAAAAACACAUGGUGACUUCAACAGAUAUUGGAAAAACUAUAUGACAAAAUCCAUCACGGAUUCAUAAUAAAAAUUCUCAACAAAGUAGGAAUAAAAGAGAAUUUAUGAAAUCUGAUAAAAGACACCUAUAAAAACCCACAGUUAGCAUCACACUUUGUGGUGAAUGACUGCUUUCCUCUUCUCACCACAAACAAGGCAAAGAUGCCCACUUUUGCUAUUUCUAAUAAUCUUGAAACUGAGAAAACCAUUCCAUUCACAAUAGCAUCAAAAAGAAUAAAAUACUCAGGAAUAAACAAAAGAAUCACAAGACAUGUAAACUGAAAACUACAAAACAAUGCUGAGAUAUAUUAAAAGAAGAGCUAUUCCAUGUUUACGGAUGGGAAGGCUCAUUAUUGUCAAGAUGUCAAGCCUCCUUAGUUGGUACAUUCAUUCAAUGCAACCUCAAUCAAAAUCCCAGUAACCUUUUUAAUAAAACUCGGCAAGCUGAAUGGAAAUGCAAAAAAAAAAAAAAAAACCUACAACAGGCAAAAUAAUUUUGAAAAAUAAGAACAGAGUUGGAAAACAUAUUGAUUUUAAAAUUUACUAAGAAGCUGGGCUGGGCAUGGUGGCUCACGUCUGUAAUCCUAGCACUUUGGGAGGCUGAGGCGGGUAGAUCACCUGAGGUCAGGAGUUCGAGACCAGCCUAGUCAACACAGUGAAACCCCAUCUCUACUAAAAAUACAAAAAAUUAGCCAGGUGUGGUGGCAGACGCCUAUAAUCCCAGCUACUCGCGAGCCUGAUGCAGGAGAAUCACUUGAACCUGGAAGGCAGAGGUUGCAGUGAGCCAAGAUCACACCAGUGCACUCCAGCCUGGGCAACAAGAGAGAAACUCCAUCCCCAAAAAGAAUAAAAAAUAAAAAAUAAACUUACUAAGAA
rnacentral:lncRNA from 1 species